UUUAUCACAAAAAAAUAGGCAUCGCUAAAUCUUUCAUCAUACGAAAAUAUAGGUUGUUACGUUUAAUUUGUUUUGCUUAGAUAGUAUGCUUUGAAAGCCUAAUUAGUUGUUAAGCAAACGAUGAAAAACACAACAUUCAAAUUGCAUUGCUCCGUCAAACUCGGUUCGAGAAUUACGUACAUUGCAAUCAUUCAAUGACGAUCAUCGACCGGCCAGCAGAGUCAGUGAACACGAUCACGCUGGGAGAAACUGGGGAGAUAAUCGGUAUCAAUACACAUACUCGAACAACCAGAGGCAGCUACCACACUAGGAGAUCAUACCGUGGACAAGUGAGAAGCGUCGCCACCACUACAUGAGAGCACGAGAGAAGGAAUGGAGCGAAAGAUCCGUCGGCAUCAUCAUGCUGGAGAAGUUAAGUUCAACACGGCACGCACACCAUUAAAGCCCGCCGGCAGAACAAGUGAACGAUCGCAAAGGAGUGGAGUUUAAUUGUCUUCCAUCUGUAAGCCAAACCGCGUGUGCCGUUCAGUCGGCGGUGAAAAUUUCCAUUUCGGAAUUGAACAAAGUGCGUUCGUUAGAAAACCCCUCGAAGACGGCCCACUGGAUUAGCUGAUCUUAUUCUCGACCUGUGAGCAGGUGUAGCACCCGGAAACCUGUGUAAGAAAUCGAUUGGCCAGAUGGAAGAACAACAGGCCAAAAGAAGCUAAAUCCGCGUGUGCUUUCCAAGAAGGAGGGAUUCGUCGAAAAAACAAGACCGUCUGGAUUGUCGGCCGCCAUUGCCGAAAAUCAUUCCCGAUUGGAAAUAGAUGACUGUCCACGCACGGACUCUGGAUUAAACACGCUAGGUGGAGACAAUCGUGUGAAGAGCAGGAGAAAGUCGAGAAUCAUCACCGGUCAAGCCGAAAGCCAACUCGAUCGCCAGAACUAUCCCGACAGAAGCGACUUAGACCGGAUCACGUCGCAGAGCAGAGAGCCCCUCUAGAAGGGUAAGAUUCGCGCUAGCUGAUCUGCAGAGAAUUUUGCUGACGUUUCGUCGCCUGCAGGGCUCUUUUCUUUCUUACAGUUUUGCGCACUCAACGUGCCUAGAGGACGAGACAGGUCGCAGGGUCGCGGCGUCGUAAAUCGAACAUUCCGUUCGCAAUAUCACCCACCCCACACCCGAAGAGCAGUCGCGCCAAGCAUAGCGCGCAGGACAGAGGAUUUCCGUAGCGGAGUUGCCACGACAUUCAGGCGAGACGCGUAAUACGGAGGUUUGCUGUACCGGAGGAGUUUUGAUCGGGGGUGUGCCUAUCGAAAGGUGGUGGAUAUGUUGGCUAGGAAGGCGGCAGCUGUGCAGCAUCAACAGGACCGGCGCAAGGCUUCCCUGGAAGAUUAUCCGGUGGCGUAAGAGCAUGCAGAGUCAGUGAGUCCUAGAGCUUAAGAGCAAUGCAUAUUAGCUUUUAAGAAUCCUAGUGCAGGAUAGCGUAGGAGGUCUCAGGACCGAGAAUAGGAGGCCAGGACAGGCAAAAUGUUGAAUAUACGCAUUUAAAAUGAA
rnacentral:lncRNA from 1 species